rnacentral:rRNA from 1 species
AGCGGAACGAUCCUAGCUUGCUAGGAGGCGUCGAGCGGCGGACGGGUGAGUAAUGCAUAGGAAUCUACCCAGUCGUGGGGGAUAACCUGAGGAAACUCAGGCUAAUACCGCAUACGUCCUACGGGAGAAAGCGGGGGCUCUUCGGACCUCGCGCGAUUGGAUGAGCCUAUGUCGGAUUAGCUGGUUGGUGAGGUAACGGCUCACCAAGGCGACGAUCCGUAGCUGGUCUGAGAGGAUGAUCAGCCACACCGGGACUGAGACACGGCCCGGACUCCUACGGGAGGCAGCAGUGGGGAAUAUUGGACAAUGGGCGCAAGCCUGAUCCAGCCAUGCCGCGUGUGUGAAGAAGGCUUUCGGGUUGUAAAGCACUUUCAGCGAGGAAGAAAGCGUGCCGGCCAAUACCCGGUACGGACGACAUCACUCGCAGAAGAAGCACCGGCUAACUCCGUGCCAGCAGCCGCGGUAAUACGGAGGGUGCAAGCGUUAAUCGGAAUUACUGGGCGUAAAGCGCGCGUAGGCGGCGUGUCACGCCGGGUGUGAAAGCCCCGGGCUCAACCUGGGAACGGCAUCCGGAACGGGCAGGCUAGAGUGCAGGAGAGGAAGGUAGAAUUCCCGGUGUAGCGGUGAAAUGCGUAGAGAUCGGGAGGAAUACCAGUGGCGAAGGCGGCCUUCUGGACUGACACUGACGCUGAGGUGCGAAAGCGUGCGUAGCAAACAGGAUUAGAUACCCUGGUAGUCCACGCCGUAAACGAUGUCGACUAGCCGUUGGGUCCCUUGAGGACUUAGUGGCGCAGUUAACG